AUUGUUGUUCAUAAUGAAAUAGGGCUAGGUCACCUCUAAACAGAGUUAUAUUGUUGUUUAUAAUGAAAUAGGGCUAGGUCACCUCUAAACAGAGUUAUAUUGUUGUUUAUAAUGAAAUAGGGCUAGGUCAACUCUAAACAGUUAUAUUGUUGUUUAUAAUGAAAUAGGGCUAGGUCAACUCUAAACAGAGUUAUAUUGUUGUUUAUAAUGAAAUAGGGCUAGGUCAACUCUAAACUACCAAACCAAAGUAAUCAAAAUCCCAUUUCCUAAAU